rnacentral:rRNA from 1 species
AGUGAACGCUGGCGGUAGGCCUAACACAUGCAAGUCGAACGGCAGCACAUUAAGAGCUUGCUCUUACGGGUGGCGAGUGGAGGACGGGUGAUGAAUACAUCGGAAUCUACUUUUUCGUGGGGGAUAACGUAGGGAAACUUACGCUAAUACCGCAUACGACCUACAGGUGCAAGCAGGGGAUCUUCGGACCUUGCCAGCAUGUAUUAGGCGAUGUCGGGUUAGCUAGUUGGCGGGGGAAGGGCCCACCAAGGCGGCGAUCCGUAGCUGGUAUGAGCGGAGGAACGGCCACCCGGGAACUGAGAAACAGUACAGAGUCCGACGGGAGGCAGCAGUGGGGAAUAUUAGACAAGGGGGGCAAGCCUGAUUCAGCGAUACCGCGUGGGGGAAGAAGGCCUUCGGGUGGUAAAGCCAUGUUGUUGGGAAAGAAAAGAAGCAGGUUUAUACCCCGCUGAUCUGACGGUACCCAAAGAAUAAGCACCGGCUAGCUUCGUG